rnacentral:rRNA from 1 species
UACGAAGGGUGCAAGCGUUGUUCAGAAUCAUUGGGCGUAAAGCGCGCGCAGGCGGAUUAGCAAGUCAGAUGUGAAAUCUCGAAGCUCAACUUCGAAACUGCGUCUGAAACUGCUAGUCUAGAAUGUCGGAGGGGGCAGGGGAAUUUCACGUGUAGGGGUAAAAUCCGUAGAGAUGUGAAGGAACACCGGAGGCGAAGGCGCCUGCCUGGACGACUAUUGACGCUGAGGCGCGAAAGCGUGGGGAGCAAACAGG